UAAGGAAUAUUGGUCAAUGGACGAAAGUCUGAACCAGCCAUGCCGCGUGGAGGAUGAAGGUCCUCUGGAUUGUAAACUUCUUUUAUCUGGGACGAAAAAAGGUCUUUCUAGAUCGUCUGACGGUACCAGAUGAAUAAGCACCGGCUAACUCCGUGCCAGCAGCCGCGGUAAUACGGAGGGUGCAAGCGUUAUCCGGAUUCACUGGGUUUAAAGGGUGCGUAGGUGGGUUGGUAAGUCAGUGGUGAAAUCUUCGAGCUUAACUCGGAAACUGCCAUUGAUACUAUCAGUCUUGAAUAUUGUGGAGGUUAGCGGAAUAUGUCAUGUAGCGGUGAAAUGCUUAGAUAUGACAUAGAACACCAAUUGCGAAGGCAGCUGGCUACACAUAUAUUGACACUGAGGCACGAAAGCGUGGGGAUCAAACAGGAUUAGAUACCCUGGUAGUCCACGCCCUAAACUAUGGAUACUCGACAUACGCGAUACACUGUGUGUGUCUGAGCG
rnacentral:rRNA from 1 species